UACGGGGGGGGCAAGCGUUGUUCGGAAUUACUGGGCGUAAAGGGCCAGUAGGCGGCCAACUAAGUCGGAUGUGAAAUCCCCAGGCUUAACCUGGGAACUGCAUCCGAUACUGGAUGGCUUGAAUUCGGGAGAGGGAUGCAGAAUUCCAGGUGUAGCGGUGAAAUGCGUAGAUAUCUGGAGGAACACCAAUGGCGAAGGCAGCUCGCUGGAACGGUACUGACGCUGAGGCGCGAAAGCGUGGGGAGCAAACAGG
rnacentral:rRNA from 1 species